CUGUACCACAGACCUACCAAACACAUCCAGAACAAAACUGCCAGGAUGCAGUAUCCUACGACACAUGUCUGCGAGGAGAGGGAAAGAGGACAAAAUGCUGACAGUCUUGGCCAUAUACAAAACUGUACUGAGGGCGCUUUGCAGAGCUGAUGAAGGGUGUGGGAAGACAGAGCCAGAAAGUCAAAGAAACCACCGAGCAAGUACAAAAUAAGACAUCUGACUAAAAAAACAAUCAAAAUCAAAGCAGCUGUAAUGAAAAAAAAAAGAGAUGUAAACAGAGCAGACGACAAACAGUCGCGUCAGAAAGGGUUGUAACCGGAGCCCUGGCCUCACAACCAACAGCAUUCACAGGGUUCGUGACGUCAUCGUGAUGACAUCAUAAAGGAUGGACAUAGAGGGGCUAGCAGAAACCCUCUACCAAAACGAGGGAACAAAUUACAGAGAUGACUCCAGAACGCCAGGACGUAUAUUAUUCAGAAACAGCUAAGAGAUGAGAGACAGAGGGUGGUCCCCAGGGACUAGGCUCAGGGUUGGGAGAGAAGCCAGGGGGAUUUCUGAUCCUGUCGGAAGCCUUUUGGCACUGUUAUUUGAUGUUUAAGCUGUGUGUAUACUAUUUUGAUAAGAUAAAUAUUAAUUUUUGUAAAGCAGCUUGAGUGCUGACAUCACUCCCUGACAUAUGCCUGCAGAACUCAGUGGACUGGCGAAGGCCUCAGGGAAUAUUUCCUCCCUCACCUUCGCUUUUUCUCUACUGGCCUACACCUGUAGUCCUUAGCACACCGGACUGUAAUUGCCCUCAAUUUCCAUCUGCCACUGAACACUGUGUGUAAAGGCAAGAUUUCUUAGAGGCCUGGUGCACGGUGGAAUCCGGAUGGAUGCACGCGUCAUUUUUACUAAUAAACAUUCCAGUGAGUGAACGAA